rnacentral:rRNA from 1 species
CCUACGGGAGGCAGCAGUGGGGAAUAUUGGACAAUGGGGGGAACCCUGAUCCAGCCAUGCCGCGUGUGUGAAGAAGGCCUUUUGGUUGUAAAGCACUUUAAGCGAGGAGGAGGCUACCUAGAUUAAUACUUUAGGAUAGUGGACGUUACUCGCAGAAUAAGCACCGGCUAACUCUGUGCCAGCAGCCGCGGUAAUACAGAGGGUGCGAGCGUUAAUCGGAUUUACUGGGCGUAAAGCGUGCGUAGGCGGCCAAUUAAGUCAAAUGUGAAAUCCCCGAGCUUAACUUGGGAAUUGCAUUCGAUACUGGUUGGCUAGAGUAUGGGAGAGGAUGGUAGAAUUCCAGGUGUAGCGGUGAAAUGCGUAGAGAUCUGGAGGAAUACCGAUGGCGAAGGCAGCCAUCUGGCCUAAUACUGACGCUGAGGUACGAAAGCAUGGGGAGCAAACAGGAUUAGAUACCCUGGUAGUCCAUGCCGUAAACGAUGUCUACUAGCCGUUGGGGUCCCUUGAGGUCUUUAGUGGCGCGNGCGUACGACGAGAAGUAGACCGCCGUGGGUAGGUUAGGUUCGUCGAGACGUAAACGUUACGAAGAGUAGUUAGACGNGNGAGAGCGACGACGGACGACGACGGAGGAGGAGG